GAUGAACGCUGGCGGCGUGCCUAAUACAUGCAAGUCGAGCGAACGGACGAGAAGCUUGCUUCUCUGAUGUUAGCGGCGGACGGGUGAGUAACACGUGGAUAACCUACCUAUAAGACUGGGAUAACUUCGGGAAACCGGAGCUAAUACCGGAUGAUAUUUUGAACCGCAUGGUUCAAAAGUGAAAGACGGUCUUGCUGUCACUUAUAGAUGGAUCCGCGCUGCAUUAGCUAGUUGGUAAGGUAACGGCUUACCAAGGCAACUAUGCAUAGCCGACGUGAGAGGGGGAUCGGCCACACUGGAACUGGGACAGGGUCCAUACUCCUACGGGAGGCAGCAGUAGGGAAUCUUCCGCAAUGGGCGAAAGCCUGACGGAGCAGCGCCGCGUGAGUGAUGAAGGUCUUCGGAGCGUAAAACUCUGUUAUUAGGGAAGAACAUAUGUGUAAGUAACUGUGCACAUCUUGACGGUACCUAAUCAGAAAGCCACGGCUAACUACGUG
rnacentral:rRNA from 1 species